UACGUAGGUGGCGAGCGUUGUCCGGAUUUACUGGGCGUAAAGAGCGCGCAGGCGGUCGUUCAAGUCGCGUGUGAAAGCCCCCGGCUCAACUGGGGAGGGUCACGCGAUACUGAUCGACUCGAAGGCAGGAGAGGGAAGUGGAAUUCCCGGUGUAGUGGUGAAAUGCGUAGAUAUCUGGAGGAACAUCGGUGGCGAAGGCGGCAUCCUGGACCGGUAUUGACGCUGAGGCGCGAAAGCCAGGGGAGCAAACGGG
rnacentral:rRNA from 1 species